rnacentral:rRNA from 1 species
AGUGAACGCUGGCGGUAGGCCUAACACAUGCAAGUCGAACGGCAGCACAGUAAGAGCUUGCUCUUACGGGUGGCGAGUGGCGGACGGGUGAGGAAUACAUCGGAAUCUACUUUUUCAUGGGGGAUAACGUAGGGAAACUUACGCUAAUACCGCAUACGACCUACGGGUGAAAGCAGGGGAUCUUCGGACCUUGCGCGAUUGAAUGAGCCGAUGUCGGAUUAGCUAGUUGGCGGGGUAAAGGCCCACCAAGGCGACGAUCCGUAGCUGGUCUGAGAGGAUGAUCAGCCACACUGGAACUGAGACACGGUCCAGACUCCUACGGGAGGCAGCAGUGGGGAAUAUUGGACAAUGGGCGCAAGCCUGAUCCAGCCAUACCGCGUGGGUGAAGAAGGCCUUCGGGUUGUAAGGCCCUUUUGUUGGGAAAGAAAAGCAGCAGGUUAAUACCCCGCUGUUCUGACGGUACCCAAAGAAUAAGCACCGGCUAACUUCGUG